rnacentral:rRNA from 1 species
UACGGGGCAGCAGUGGGGAAUAUUGCACAAUGGGCGCAAGCCUGAUGCAGCCAUGCCGCGUGUAUGAAAAAGGCCUUCGGGUUGUAAAGUACUUUCAGUCGUGAGGAAGGUGUUAAGGUUAAUAACCUUAGCAAUUGACGUUAGCGACAGAAGAAGCACCGGCUAACUCCGUGCCAGCAGCCGCGGUAAUACGGAGGGUGCGAGCGUUAAUCGGAAUUACUGGGCGUAAAGGGCACGCAGGCGGUUAAUUAAGUUGGAUGUGAAAUCCCCGGGCUUAACCUGGGAAUGGCAUUCAAGACUGGUUAGCUAGAGUCUUGUAGAGGGGGUAGAAUUCCAUGUGUAGCGGUGAAAUGCGUAGAGAUGUGGAGGAAUACCGGUGGCGAAGGCGGCCCCUGGACAAAGACUGACGCUCAUGUGCGAAAGCGUGGGGAGCAAACAGGGAUUAGAUACC